UCCGCCCCUGCUUCUUGGUUGGGUGGAAUUCGGACUUGGGGUACUCCCUCCUUCCCACCGCCUUAGAGGCGCUGGGAACUUUGAACCAAUCGGAGGCGCCGCCGCUGCCGAGGCCCCCGCCCUGGAGCUGGUUCUGGGGCGCCCAGGGUACCCUCACCGCACCGCGCCUUUGGCUUUGUGGGUGCUUCCUUCAGGAGCACCCUCUUCCCAGCUCUGCCUCCCCACGAGAGGCCCCUGCCUUCCCCAAGGGGUACGGGGGAGACAGCAGAGCAAGAAAUGACCCCCGACCUCCCCUGACUGCCCUCCCCCCAGGUGGAUGGAACCCUAGUCUGUCAUUCCCAGAAGAGUUGCUGGUCAUUGGAUUGGUUUGCUAAGAGUCUUUUUGCAACCUGAAGUGGGUUGGCAUCUUCCAUUUUCUCUCUUGAAGCUGGAAGCCAGAAGAGCCCAAAGCCUAAAAAGACUGAAGAUAGUCUGAAGAGACCUCUUGACCAUGAAAAGGAAAAUCACUUUGGCAUCUGCAUGAAGGCUGGAUUGGAGUGGGCAGAGGCUUGUGGCAGGCACUCACCAACACACUACUGCAGUGGUCCAAGCACAAGAGUACCACCAUAACUCAAGCCUUCACCAUCUGGACUAUGACAAUAGCCUCAUCGGUCUCCCUGCCUCAAGCAUUUCCCUCUUCCAAUCUGUUCUCUGCUCAGCUGCCAAGCAGAUUUUUCUAAAAUGUGUUCCUGGCAAUACUGCCCACUGCUCAAUGAGUUCUAAUAGCAAAUUAUUGUCUCCAGAAUCAAAUAUAAGUUCUCUAGCAUGGUCUUCAAAACCUAAUUUCUCCCUACCUCUGAGGCCUUCUUACACUUUAAUCCCCUCCAUAUACUCUAUAAUCUAGCUACACUGGCCUCCUCAAUGUUCUUGCACACAAAAUUUCAUCUAUGCCUUUAUACGAGCUCCCCCAAAGCUGGGAAUGCUCUGUCCCCUCCCUCACCUCCACUUUCUAAUUUCCCUGGCUUCUUGUUAGACUCAGAUCAAAUCCAUCUUCUGCAGGAACCUUUCCUGGUUCCCCCCGGGGGCUAGUGCAUCCCUCUCUUAGAUUGCUUUUCAUAGAUUCUGUUAUCUUGUAUGUACCUAAUUAUUCAUAUAUUACAAAUUACAUAUGAUAUUAUAAAAUGUAAUAUUUACAUAUCACAAGUGUAAUUAUUUUCAUAUUGCCCCACCAGAUCAUGAGCUCCUUGA